GUUCCUGACUGCAGCACUCAAGACACCGCGUAUUAGAGCACGCGACUCCUUUCUUCGUCCCUGAUAAUCGAAUGAAUCGUCGUGCACGUGGAACUAGAUCAGGGAACCGCCUGGCCAACGGGGUAGAAGGAGAAACGAAGACGAUCGGGGGAUGGCUCGGUCCGCCCGGAACGUAAUGGUAUUUCCAGAGGAAGGGAGAAAGCUCGCCGGUUGCUGCCGAUGUUUACCAUAGGUUGAAAGUUUUCGGCUAUUCCCCGCGAUAUCGCGUGAAUACCGAACGAAAACGGGGGCGGCGGCUUGUGUCAAAUACCCUAGCCGCGCAGCGGAAUUACAAUUAGCCAUCGGCGUUGAGGAAAGAAGAAUUCUAAUGCCGUCUCGAAGGGAUUGAAAUCGGCAGGUUGACAGCUUGUAACAAGCGUGGAAUUUUUAAUUAUGUGGCUUAAUGAACUCGACCAUGAUUUAUGUAAAAGUUACGUAGUAGCAAUGAAAACACAAUUAUCAUGUAUCUUUUCUAUUUAUCUAUUUUCUGUAAUAUCUGUAUUAUUCUAAUCAAAUCAAUUAUUCUACUAAUCGCAGGUCAAUCUAUUCUACUAUCAUCUACGCAAGUUUGCAGCAACAAUGGGUUAGUUGUAUUUUACCCAAAAAAUGUUCUA